rnacentral:piRNA from 1 species
UAGGAGCUGUGGUACUGUGUCA